UGCUCAAUUACAACUAUUCUCAUUCAUGCAAUCAAUGUAAAAAAGUAGUUUACUUUUGCUAGGUGACUUUACCUAAUUGAAUGCAUGUCUAAAAUUGCUUAACUUGAAAGUGCAUUAAAGUUAAACUUUAUAAAUAUGUCCUUGUGUGAGAGAUUUUAUUUCUGGUACUAAAAUUUUAUGAGAGCAAUAUUUAUACAAUAAGUUCUUUCUGGAUCGCAUCCGCAAUGCCACAAAAUAAAUUAAGAGGAUACAAAUAAAGUGAAAUGAUUGGCUCACUUGUAACAGAAUCGAUAUUGUGGAUUGUAAUGUUAUUAUUAUCUAUCUUGUUUUAGAUUUUGCUGAUUGGACUUGGGAGGAGUUCAAUUUGAUUUCUUUUAAAUUAAGAGGAUACAAAACUCUUACCACUAAUGCUUUCUUUUAUUGUCACAAUUUAAUUGGAAGAUGGCAACAAUGAUAGCAAAGGGUUGCAGUGAAGGCAAAGCAUCUCAAGUUUUAUGUGUCUGGUGAAGAGAGCCUUGAGCAAAUUGGUAACAGAGCAGAAUGCCUUAGGAUUAAAUCAGGUAUAUAUUUAUAUUCAAGUACUGAUAUUGAGGUGAAAAUCUGGAUUUCUUCUGAUUAGUUUUGCUGCUAGCAUUCUUCUUGCUAUAUUAUUUUUUGUUUUAUACAUGGAUUUUUAUUGAAAUUAUUGUCUGGGUCCUAUUAAGCGAUUAUUUCAUGUAAUAGCCUUAACUUGCGAGAACUGUAUGGUGAAGUCUAGAUACUUGUAUGCUUUUUUAUCUUAAUUUAGUUUUUAGGACAUAUUGAAGAAAGCUCAGCUUCUUUCCCCUCGUGCUAUGGUUGUUGAUUCAAUACAAACUCUUGAUCCUAUUAACACUUGGUCAGAGCAAAAGGUUAAGUUGAAUGAUGCUGAGCACAAGUUAAAAGAUCAAGGACGUCAACUAAAGGUUCAACAGAAAAGAAUUGGUUCUACUAAAAAGACAAUUCA